rnacentral:rRNA from 1 species
GACGAACGCUGGCGGCGUGCUUAACACAUGCAAGUCGAACGGAAAGGCCCUGCUUUUGUGGGGUGCUCGAGUGGCGAACGGGUGAGUAACACGUGAGUAACCUGCCCUUUACUUUGGGAUGACUUCAGGAAACUGGGGCUAAUACCGGAUAGGAGCUCCUGCUGCAUGGUGGGGGUUGGAAAGUUUCGGCGGUUGGGGAUGGACUCGCGGCUUAUCAGCUUGUUGGUGGGGUAGUGGCUUACCAAGGCUUUGACGGGUAGCCGGCCUGAGAGGGUGACCGGCCACAUUGGGACUGAGAUACGGCCCAGACUCCUACGGGAGGCAGCAGUGGGGAAUAUUGCACAAUGGGCGGAAGCCUGAUGCAGCAACGCCGCGUGCGGGAUGACGGCCUUCGGGUUGUAAACCGCUUUCGCCUGUGACGAAGCGUGAGUGACGGUAAUGGGUAAAGAAGCACCGGCUAACUACGUG